GCGAAGUGGCAUCACUACACGGCAUUCAAGCCUUACAGCUUGUCUGGUACAAAGCGGGAAGUUGACUCUCUUGUCCUUCCUCACGUUGUCCUUCUUCACAUAAAACAUUCCUACGUGUUAGCAUCGAAUAACAUAGUUUCGGUGAUACAGCUGCUUCGAGGCUGUAGAGUAGCUGUGUGAGUAAGGGACCAAACAGGUUCAGGCACGGCUUGAGCAGGUGUGCAGAUGCAUCAUUUUCUUCAAGUGCCCUGCAGUGGAGCUGCUUGGCUGUGUGUGACACGGCUGAUUUUCAUGCUCGCACCGCCGAGUCUGUUAGCACCAAAGUGUGAGACUGCCGGUGUAGAGCAACGAGACUGUUUCCCACAGAUUUCACAAGGCACGUGCUUACACUUUUUUUUUUUCUUUCUGAAGUUGAAGCACUGGUUGGUUUUUUGUUUCCGUUUUUACUGAUAAGAGUAGUAAGGAGUUAACACUGAGUCAGAUGUUGAAAGCUACUACGCACCACCAAUUUCCAGUUCAGUUUGAUUUUCUCGGUGCUGAUGUUGCCACCAGAUCUGUUAAACUGAUUUUCUCUUUUCUCAGCUGCCUUGAAGUCAGCUCUAUCAGCUGUGAGACAGUACAACGAAGGACUAGCACAAUGACCAAAAACUUUAGCAAACGAGUAAAGCUAUGUUUUUCCUCAAGCAAACAUAGGUUGCUGUGAAGCUGCUGUAAGUCUGCAAAUAAGAAAGGAAGGAGACCUCUGAGCUGGACAAUCUCUUCUACCAUCAGCUGUGAAGGAUGGGAUCUUUUUGAGGUGCCAGCUUGAGCCAGGAGACCUGAACCACUGGCAACAGGAAUGAGGGGAAUGUCCUUUGUUUGCAGGAGAGACCUGAGGCUGAAGGAGAAGGGCACUGCCAUGUUAUGAACUGUGCAAGAAGUGUUUACAGAGGGGCCCUGUGACCCAAGGUUUGAACUCACUGACUCACAGAAGUGCUAGUCUGUACAAGCCUUGCUGAUCAAAAAUUUUCAAAUACUGCGUCACUGAAAAUCACCUUCCAGGGAAAGCUGCUUUUGCUGCAUUUAAUCAACUCAACAGCCAAAAAUAUUUCAUCUCCAACAUUUUCAGCAAAUCAAUCCCUAAAGACAUGCUAAAGAGCUGUCCUGUUUGCUUCUCUUCAUGUGGCCUAGGCUCCUUCUUCUACAUUUCCUUACUGGAC